GACGAACGCUGGCGGCGUGCUUAACACAUGCAAGUCGAACGGAAAGGCCCUGCUUUUGUGGGGUGCUCGAGUGGCGAACGGGUGAGUAACACGUGAGUAACCUGCCCUUUACUUUUGGAUAACUUCAGUAAACUGGGGCUAAUACCGGAUAGGAGCUCCUGCUGCAUGGUGGUGGUUGGAAAGUUUCGGCGGUUGGGGAUGGACUCGCGGCUUAUCAGCUUGUUGGUGGGGUAGUGGCUUACCAAGGCUUUGACGGGUAGCCGGCCUGAGAGGGUGACCGGCCACAUUGGGACUGAGAUACGGCCCAGACUCCUACGGGAGGCAGCAGUGGGGAAUAUUGCGCAAUGGGCGGAAGCCUGAUGCAGCAACGCCGCGUGCGGGAUGAAGGCCUUCGGGUUGUAAACCGCUUUCGCAUGUGACGAAGCGUGAGUGACGGUAAUGGGUAAAGAAGCACCGGCUAACUACGUG
rnacentral:rRNA from 1 species